ACCCCGAAAAAUCUAAAUUAAAUUCCGUGAAUUUUUAGAAAUGAUUCCACGAUAGUGGGAGCGAGUACGAGGCUCGGAGAAGUUGUGGAAUUAGUUCGAACGAUUAAAUUUCGAAAACGAACGUUAUUUAGGGGCUCGCGAAAGUUGACUUUUUAUACGUUCAAAAUUUGGGAAAACUUCCUUCGUGAAAGUUGUAGAGCUCGUCGAUACGAUCUCGUGCAUAUGUGGAACGCAAAAAUCGGAGUUCGUAUGAGAAAGUUAUGAUCAAUUGAAAUUUGGGGAAAUUUCUAUAAAUAGCAAAAAAAUCCCGAAAAUGGAAAUUUUCUGCAGAUUUUUCUCUCCCGAGCUCGGCUACUGUAGCCAUUUCGCCUCCUUCAUUCUUCCUCCUCCGUCCACAAUAGGUCAAAUUGUUGAGUGGGUUUUGUUCACCACACUCCCACCUACACGUCUGUGGAAGCCUUUUAGCAUGGGAAGCACUGUGGAGGCCGUUGCAACCUCGGGAAGUUGCUCCGCCGAGCUAAAAACGCCCAAAAUCGCCGACCUUGGUUCUCCCAAUUCCGGCCACCAUAGCUCGAGUUCUUUGAGGGCUUUUCUAGCCCAGAGGCCGUAGAUGCUUCCCUCCAAGCGGCUUGCAACGAUUUCACCUGUGGAGCUCGAAUUUUGAAGAUUGGGAAACUAGGGUUCUUCGGGUUUCAAAACUUGCGAGGUGAUCGACGGUUUGAUUUGGCGGACGAUUCGUGAAAUUGUAUUUUGAGCUGUUAAGAAGACGCAGCGGGAAUUUAGAGGUGAGUAAACCUCACGUGGUUCAUAUUACGAACCGAAUAAAUUUAAUUACUUUAUUUUGUCGUAAUUGUGUGAAAAUAUUUAUGAAAUAAAUAUUUGUUUUAAAUCAUAUGGGCUUGAUCAACUACGGUCCAUAGGUAAGUAAAAUGAUUUAAUUAUACAAAAUGAAUUUCACGAUUUUUAUGCUUGAACUAUAGUUGGUAUUAGUGAUUAUCCCUGAGCGGAUAAUUACGUAUAUAUAUAUUUACGUGGUUAUAUAUGGAUUGGUGUGACAUGGAGAUGUGUGAUUUUAUAAUGAUUUAAGUGAUGUGAAAUCGAAAACGUGAUUUACCAUAUUCAUUUAUGAUGAUAGUGAUUGGUGAAAUUAUAUUGGAAAUUUAUGGAUGACGUGGUAUUGAGUGAUGAUAUGAUUGAGUAUGGAUUGGUGAUUUUUGGAGUUGUAUUUUGAGUACAUAUAUAUACACAAUAAUAGUACGUAUCAUGGUAUUAUUGAUCCUAUUGUGUGAAAGAAUAUUAUUGUACUCGAUUUUGGUUUUAGGAUCAACAUAGUGACCAGUAUGGGGGAAUCGGAUGCUCUAAUACUAGGUGGAUGAUGGGCUACGAUUGGUCGAGUGUAAGAGACGCCCCAACCCUCAUUGGGUGAUGGGCUAAGUUGAGUAUGUGUAUCGGAUGUUCUAACCUAUGUUGAUGAACUACGAUAUUGAUAAUCACGUCGGAUGCCAUAACCUAGGCCAGGUGAUGGGCUACGAUUCAGUUAGAGCUCUAGUCUGUCAGUCACCGUAUUUGUAUAAAUACGCUUUCGGGGUUUUGGAAAGAAAUAUGUGAGUUUAGAUCCCGUAUUAAUCUUUGGUGAUUUAGAGUGGUGAUUUUAGUGACUGAUUUUGGGGAUUGUGGAUUGCUUUGUGGUUGUUGUGAUUGUUGGUUGUUUUGCUUGAGUUAAAAGAAAUAUGAUUUAAUAAAUCAACCGUUCAUUUCUUGUUUACUCAUACGAGCUUUAAAGAUUUCUUUAAAGCUUACCGGGUUUUGUGUUGUUGCCAAUUCCCGGUGCACUAUUAAAUUCAAAUGGUGUAGCGGGAAAUCCUACAGGUCAGGAAGAUCAAGGCGGAGAUCGUGAGGGUUAGAGUUUUUGUUUCAGUUUACAGCUUUGUAAAUUGUGAGAUGUAUUAUUGAGAGGUGUGAAGUGUGGUUGUUGUGAGAAAAAAUUCAGGACGUUUAUUCUUUUAAGUUGUAUAAUUCAUGUUUCGGAUUUUAAUUGUAUUUAAAAUUCGGGGCGUGACAGUUUGGUAUCAGAGCGUAAGGUGCAUAUUUGGUGAUGUGUCAAUACCUUCCGAGUGAUGGCCCGUCUGCAGCGGAUCCCCAUCGUGUGCUCUUCGGUAUUGGCUAAGUCAUUGGGUAUGCGUGAGUGUUGGGAGUUGUUUAGGCCGCUAGGUCGUUUUAGGAACGUGAAUACCUUCCCUAUAGUAUUGACUUGGUUAAUAUGAAUUUGUAUUUGACUUAUACUGUGUUUUAAGUGUUAUACAUGUAUUAGCCAAGCAUACUAUACUCCUUAGGUGAUGGAGAUUCGAAGGGGUUGUACUUAGAACCUUACAGUUGUCUUGUAGGUUCGUAUUGGAAUAAGUUCAGUGGCCGCGAGUUACAAUCCUUGAGGAAUAGGAACCCCUUGAUUCAACUCUGUUAAGUCAACGAGGAUUGUUUUAUGGAAAUGAGGUUCUUUUGAUUGUUGAAGUGGUUGGUUGAAGGCAUGGUGUGGACCUAUGCUCGUCUGUAAUGUGGAUACGAGUAUUAAUCGAUAGUAAUUUUGCCUUUUUAAGUCGGAUAUACUAAUGUUUUUGAAUAGAUUCUUGACUCAUGUGGAGUUGUGAGUAGUGUUGCGGUUAGGGAAGGAAUUAUUGCGGUUAAUUCUUCCAUGUGCUUGUAAGUUGUUGAGCAUGGUUUAAGGUGCGGGAACGGAGUUUGAUCUUGUGUUUGAGUGAUUGAGACGAACGACUAUAUAUUUAAGUUGUCUACAAGUACCUAUAAUCAUAAGGGUUAUUGAAGUGGGACUAGUGGUAAUUUUAGUGAUUCUAAAAUUGAAUCGAGUUCGAGGAACGUGUUUUAUAUACGUGGUUGAUGUUGCGAGCAUCAUUUUUGAUUGAUAUUUUGCGUUUCACAAAGACAACUGGAUUGGAAAUUCUCCAUUUGGACACCUUGGUCUGUUGACCUGACUAUGACUUGUGGACAUAGUUUUAUUUAAGUGAAGGAAAUUGAUUUUUGAACUAGUUUUCUUAAGUUUUGGAUCGUAGUAUGGAGUUGGACUGAAGUGAAUUUGAGGUUGUUUGUGUUUUAAGUUUAAGUAGGCGGGACACUUAAAGUUUUGAAAUGGAGUUGAUUUUGGUGUAAUUAAUGGGGAGAGUUAGAAUCAGUUCUUGUGAAGGAUGUUUGACGAGAGUGUGUGCCUUUGGUGAUUGAUCUUAGGUGAUAUAGUUAAACGCAAUUUCGGAUAUUGAUUUUAGUGACCUUGUUAGGUAUAUCCAUAGUGGUUCAAGUGAAUUACUAUGUGAUAUGGAGUUUGAUUCGAUUUCUGAAUCGCUAAAUGUUAGGGAUUGAAUUGUGGUGAGUUUUUGUUGAAGCAAUUGAUAGAUGGAAUUAUCGAGAUUCUAUAAGAGUUGUAAGAGUAACUCUAAAGAUGUGGGUUUUUCCUAGCUAACUCAGGAAGUGUUUAGCUUUAUUAAUCCCUAAUUCUAGCGACGAAAUUAUUGUGUUUGGUUUGACUCAGAGGAUACUAGUUUGACCUCUGUGUGACUUAAUUGAUUGUUAGGUUUUGAAUGAUUGUUUGUGAUAAAUCAUUUUGAAAGAUGUGUGCAGCAGAGUUCUCGAUGGUUUUGAAAAGAGUAUUGAGUGACCAAGGUUCGAUCCUUGGUGUUGUUGUUGGUUAAACAAAAAGAAAAGAAAACAUCCACACAAUCUUAUUGAUUUUAUAUUACAAAAAGGGAAACGAGGACUAUUCUAUACUAAGCCUAGUCAGCAGCUCCGGAUGGGUUGAGGCUGAGCUCAAGAGAAACGUUUGAGCCACUGUGAUAACCGCCUGAGCCACCAGAAUAGUAACCCAAUGCGCUACCUUCCUCGGAAGUAGUCUUCAGGUUACCAAAGACGUCCUCGCCGUGCACGGGGAACAGAGGAAGAGUUUGAACCUCCUGGUGAUCUCCUCCUCGUUGUUGCAGGGAUGUUUGUCCUCCUGUUGUGCCAAAAGAGUUGUACUAGUAUUAGUGUUGAAGUGUGAGGAAGAAUAUGAAACAGAAUUUAAAUCAAGAAAUCCUUCAUUACCAGUAGAAUAGGUGGAACCAAAGUUGAGAUCAAUGGAUCUACCAUCAUCAGUAGAACUAGUGGACCCAAAAUUGAUGUCAAUGGAUCCACCAGCUGGCCCAAAAUUGAUGUCGAUGGAUCCACCAGCACCAGUAGAACCAGUGGACCCAAAAUUGAGAUCAAUGGAUCUACCAGUACCAAGAGAACUAGUUCUCAUGGGCACUGGAGCAGCCUGAUUACACCUAUUCAUCUGCUUCUCUCGAGCCCUGACGUUCUGGAACCAAAAGUAAAUGUUCUUACCCUCAACAUACCCAUACUGGUUCAGCUGGAGACAGAUCUCGUGAAUCUGCUCUGUAGUUGGGCACUUAAAUCCCUUGACGUAGUAAAGAUCCUUGAGGAUUCUUAUUUGUUCUGGAGUAGGAAUCCAUCUGGUACGGCUUCGCCAGAAAUCCACGUUGGCACUACUUCCAGCUGCUUGGGUGUUUCCUCCCUCCUCUGUUGGUUGCUGUUGUUGUGGUUCCAUUUGUUGCGGGGUUUGGAGCUCCAUUAGUUGCAGAGUUCGUGGCUCUUGGGUCAUGGGGUGAGAGGAUGUGAAAAUCGAGGAAUACAUGGUUUAGUGUUUGAGGGAGAUUUUGUUAGAAGGAUUGGAGUUGUUGAACUGGUGAUUGGAGAUCUGAGAUUCUCAGAGGGAAGAUGAGAUCGAAUCUUCAAAUGGAAGAAAAGAUCUGAGAAAGAAGGAUUGAAGAUUUGGAGGAAAAGAUUGAAGAUCUGAGAGUGAAAAACUGGGGAUUUGAGAAGAGAAAGGCUGAAGAGUUGAGAGAGAAAGGCUUGAGCUCGGAGGAAAAUUUCUUUUCUUUGGUGUGAACAGUUUUUCUCCAGGAUGCACCUAUUUAUAGAACGAGGUGAGCAGAUCUCCACCGUUGGAUGGACGAUCUCUGAGAUUCAAUCCACGCGUUGGAUUAAAGUCGCCCCGAAACCCGGAAAAGCUGUUGGCGCGUGGAGAGCGUGUAAGGGGACCGAGGGAAUCUCGAGGCGCUGUGGCAGACAGCUGUAGCCGAAAGCAGAUUUGACUGCCGUAAAUCACGGAAGGGAUAAGCCGUGACACAAGUGGGCCGUACUUGGGCCUGUCUCGGAUCAAGGCAUCACUGUAGCUGUGGGUGGAGGCCUGAUGGGCCGAGUUUCAGAAACAGUUUUGGACAUGAUGGGCCGAGUUUCUGAAACAGUUUUGGAUACGUUGGGCUGGGUUUCUGCAACAGUCUUGGAUGUUUUGGGCCGAAUUGUUGAAACAGUUGAAACAGUUGGUUUAAAUAAAAGGAUUGGUAUGGAUAAUAACGUGAGCAGCCGUGCUCGAGUGGUUGAGUGUACAGUUCGUGUACAAGAGGUCUGAGGUUCGAACCUCGCCUCUCGUUUAUUUUUAUUAUGUUCGUUUAUGACAUAAUAAGUAUAAAAUUUGUACACAUUAUAUUAAGCGCAGCUUGUGCUCCAGUGGUUAGGGGACAAAGGUUUCGUGCGGCAGGUUGAGGUUUCGAACCUUGCCUUCCCCGUUAUUUUAUUUAUGUCACUUAUGACAUAAUAAAUAUAACACGUGAGCAUAUAUUAAUGAAGGCAGCUCUUGCUUCAGUGGUUGGGAGCAAAACCUUCGUGUUUGAGGUCGGGAGUUCGAACCCUACCUCUUACAAAUAUUUUUGGGUCUCGUAUAUGCUUGAUAUACGGACGUAUAUACGGUAUACAUACGUAUAUACGGUCUGUACGGUAUGCAUACGAAUAUACAGUUGUACGGUAUGCAUACGUAUAUACGAUCUGUACGGUAUGCAUACGUAUAUACGGUAUGUACAAUUUCAUACCGUAGCCGAGCUGGAAGUUGGUGGGCCGAUUGGUAGGCCCAAAUAGUAAGCCCAAUUGUUCGGCCCGAAUGGUAGGCCCAAAUGGUAGGCCCAAAUGUUAAGCCCAAUCGUUCGGCCCGAAUGGUAGGCCCAAAUGUUAAACCCAAAUUGGUUCGGGCCGGUUCGAAAUUUGGAUGGUUCGGUUUCUUCGGCCCAAUUGGCCAGCCCUAAUGCUUAGCUCAAGGAUUGAGCAAGUCCAAGUCAUCAUCACUGGGUGACAUGUUUUAUUGGCGUGCUUUUGAGAAUGAUUUGUUUUGAGUGAUGUUAAUUGAGUAGCGAAACGCUUUGUGGGAGUCUUUACUGUGCUUGUAUGCCAGUACAGGGUGAUGAUCUAUGUGAGGAUCUAUGAGAUAAUCUCUGUGAAGAUCUAAGUGAUGAUCCACGUGAUGAUUUUGUGUAAUUGAUGUGGAGUGAUGUUGAGCAGUUGUUUUGUGAAUUUACAUCGUGAUGAAAGGAUUUAGUGGCCAUAGGAAUGUAUUUUUAUACGAAGGGUUGUGGCUUUGUAGAUUACUACAGUUUUGGGAAAGAUGGAGAUUUGAUGGUUAGGUCAACCUUAAUCAAGAGGAAUUGACUUACGCUUAAAUUUCGGGACGAAAUUUCUUUAAGGAUGGUGGAUUGUAAUACCCCGAAAAAUCUAAAUUAAAUUCCGUGAAUUUUUAGAAAUGAUUCCACGAUAGUGGGAGCGAGUACGAGGCUCGGAGAAGUUGUGGAAUUAGUUCGAACGAUUAAAUUUCGAAAACGAACGUUAUUUAGGGGCUCGCGAAAGUUGACUUUUUAUACGUUCAAAAUUUGGGAAAACUUCCUUCGUGAAAGUUGUAGAGCUCGUCGAUACGAUCUCGUGCAUAUGUGGAACGCAAAAAUCGGAGUUCGUAUGAGAAAGUUAUGAUCAAUUGAAAUUUGGGGAAAUUUCUAUAAAUAGCAAAAAAAUCCCGAAAAUGGAAAUUUUCUGCAGAUUUUUCUCUCCCGAGCUCGGCUACUGUAGCCAUUUCGCCUCCUUCAUUCUUCCUCCUCCGUCCACAAUAGGUCAAAUUGUUGAGUGGGUUUUGUUCACCACACUCCCACCUACACGUCUGUGGAAGCCUUUUAGCAUGGGAAGCACUGUGGAGGCCGUUGCAACCUCGGGAAGUUGCUCCGCCGAGCUAAAAACGCCCAAAAUCGCCGACCUUGGUUCUCCCAAUUCCGGCCACCAUAGCUCGAGUUCUUUGAGGGCUUUUCUAGCCCAGAGGCCGUAGAUGCUUCCCUCCAAGCGGCUUGCAACGAUUUCACCUGUGGAGCUCGAAUUUUGAAGAUUGGGAAACUAGGGUUCUUCGGGUUUCAAAACUUGCGAGGUGAUCGACGGUUUGAUUUGGCGGACGAUUCGUGAAAUUGUAUUUUGAGCUGUUAAGAAGACGCAGCGGGAAUUUAGAGGUGAGUAAACCUCACGUGGUUCAUAUUACGAACCGAAUAAAUUUAAUUACUUUAUUUUGUCGUAAUUGUGUGAAAAUAUUUAUGAAAUAAAUAUUUGUUUUAAAUCAUAUGGGCUUGAUCAACUACGGUCCAUAGGUAAGUAAAAUGAUUUAAUUAUACAAAAUGAAUUUCACGAUUUUUAUGCUUGAACUAUAGUUGGUAUUAGUGAUUAUCCCUGAGCGGAUAAUUACGUAUAUAUAUAUUUACGUGGUUAUAUAUGGAUUGGUGUGACAUGGAGAUGUGUGAUUUUAUAAUGAUUUAAGUGAUGUGAAAUCGAAAACGUGAUUUACCAUAUUCAUUUAUGAUGAUAGUGAUUGGUGAAAUUAUAUUGGAAAUUUAUGGAUGACGUGGUAUUGAGUGAUGAUAUGAUUGAGUAUGGAUUGGUGAUUUUUGGAGUUGUAUUUUGAGUACAUAUAUAUACACAAUAAUAGUACGUAUCAUGGUAUUAUUGAUCCUAUUGUGUGAAAGAAUAUUAUUGUACUCGAUUUUGGUUUUAGGAUCAACAUAGUGACCAGUAUGGGGGAAUCGGAUGCUCUAAUACUAGGUGGAUGAUGGGCUACGAUUGGUCGAGUGUAAGAGACGCCCCAACCCUCAUUGGGUGAUGGGCUAAGUUGAGUAUGUGUAUCGGAUGUUCUAACCUAUGUUGAUGAACUACGAUAUUGAUAAUCACGUCGGAUGCCAUAACCUAGGCCAGGUGAUGGGCUACGAUUCAGUUAGAGCUCUAGUCUGUCAGUCACCGUAUUUGUAUAAAUACGCUUUCGGGGUUUUGGAAAGAAAUAUGUGAGUUUAGAUCCCGUAUUAAUCUUUGGUGAUUUAGAGUGGUGAUUUUAGUGACUGAUUUUGGGGAUUGUGGAUUGCUUUGUGGUUGUUGUGAUUGUUGGUUGUUUUGCUUGAGUUAAAAGAAAUAUGAUUUAAUAAAUCAACCGUUCAUUUCUUGUUUACUCAUACGAGCUUUAAAGAUUUCUUUAAAGCUUACCGGGUUUUGUGUUGUUGCCAAUUCCCGGUGCACUAUUAAAUUCAAAUGGUGUAGCGGGAAAUCCUACAGGUCAGGAAGAUCAAGGCGGAGAUCGUGAGGGUUAGAGUUUUUGUUUCAGUUUACAGCUUUGUAAAUUGUGAGAUGUAUUAUUGAGAGGUGUGAAGUGUGGUUGUUGUGAGAAAAAAUUCAGGACGUUUAUUCUUUUAAGUUGUAUAAUUCAUGUUUCGGAUUUUAAUUGUAUUUAAAAUUCGGGGC